AAAAACUUCUCUAGCUGCUGUGUCACAAAGAUACUGGAAAGGGGCAAGGUGAAGGAGGAGACCAGCAGAGCAGCCACGGCCGGGACAGUGCAGAGGAGGGAAGAUGACACAGCUGUGAGACAUUUUGGGGAAUAGGUCCUUCUGUCACGGGGCACAGGACCCUUGACCGCAAAAUGACGUGAGUUACCACUGACUAUUUUCUGGGUCUUGAUCUUGUGACUCCAAAUGGAUGGUACAGCUUGAGCAAAGACACAGAAGCAGAAGGCAGGUUUUUGGUUCCAUGAACUCUACAUCUGGCUACAUACAAAUGGUGAAGAGGAACAGGGAGAAACAUGGUUGAAAAGAACAGGCUUGGACUUCAGGAAGCAGUAAAAUGAGCGAAUGCCAUUUAUGGUUACAAAGAUAACUCAGCUGGGGGCCAAACAGAGACUGAAAUGGAGUGGGUGAGGAUGGAGGCCGGGAGGAGAUGGCUGCAGAGGUCCCAGCAAUGACAGUGGUUGUGGGAAGGGGCAACCCCAAGUCUUGUGCUCCCAACUGCAAAUCCAGUGCUUUUUCUAAAAAAAUAUUUAAAUAAUUUAUUUAUUUUUGAGAUGGAGUCUCGCUCUGUCACCCAGGCUGGAGUGCAGUGACACAAUGUCGGCUCGUGCAACCUCUGCCCCCCGGGUUCAAGCGAUUCUCCUGCCUCAGCCUCCCAAGUAGCUGGGAUUACAGACGCACGCCUCCACGCCUGGCUAAUUUUUUAUAUUUUUGGUAGAGAUGGGGUUUCACCAUGUUGCCCAGGCUGGUCUCGAACUCCUGACUUCAAGUGAUCCACCCACCUCGGCCUCCCAAAGUACUAGGAUGACAGGCGUGAGCCACUGUGCCCAGCCUUAUUUUUUUUUUUAAUUUAUAUUUUCAGAGGCAAACGAUCCUUGCUCAUUAAAAAAAGGAAAUAGAAAUUCAAAACAAAAAUGCCUGUAUCUGAUGGGAAAGAUGAGCCCAAUGUUCUUUUUUAAAAAACCUUUAUUAUGAAAUAUUUCAACUGAACAUAUGCAGUUUAUAUUGUUAUAAAGCAUAACAAGCAAUCAAACAGCUGUGAACCCACCACUCCAUGUCAGAACUAGAACUUCCCAAAGCAGUCGGAGCUGAGGUGAGAUCCACUCUGAUGCCCUUCCCCAACUCCACGCCACCCCCCAAGACCUGACCACCUGAUUACUCUGGGAUUUCAUUUUUGUCUCGUUCCCUUGCUUUGCUUUAUGUCUUUACCAAAUGUGAAUGUGUGCCUAAACAAUACAGUGCUCGAUUUGCUUGUGUUUAAGCUUUAUUACAAAUAUAACUUUGAUCCUUCU
rnacentral:lncRNA from 1 species